UACGGAGGGUGCGAGCGUUGUCCGGAAUCACUGGGCGUAAAGGGCGCGUAGGCGGCGCGAGCAGUCGAUCGUGAAAGUCCGGAGCUCAACUCCGGAUCGGCGGUCGAUACUCUCGUGCUUGAGCACUGUAGAGGCAGAUGGAAUUCCGGGUGUAGCGGUGGAAUGCGUAGAGAUCCGGAAGAACACCGGUGGCGAAGGCGGUCUGCUGGGCAGUUGCUGACGCUGAGGCGCGACAGCGUGGGAGCAAACAGG
rnacentral:rRNA from 1 species